GGGGGUGUAAUAGAUUCGACGGGUGUCUGUUAUGACUCGGGAGCAGGUGCCGGUUGGCCAGGCCGGCUAAAACAGGGCCAAAAAAAUAACUAACGACAAUCAAGUCGCUUGGGCUAACGCUUAGUCCACUGCCGCUUUGACGCUUUUCACACGCCAAGGCAAGGCAGUCAUCAUGUGAAAUGCGGCGCAACGGGCGCGUUUCGUCCUUUUGCGCUUAAGACCAACGGAACAAACCGCAGGGGUGCCGCCGUGCGCUUACCCCGCGGUUAACCAAGCGCGGCUAAACCUGUAGGGCCUGAGUUGUUAGGGCGUUCGGACGGGGGUGCGAAUCCCCCCACCUCCACU
rnacentral:tmRNA from 1 species